AGAGUUUGAUCAUGGCUCAGAUUGAACGCUGGCGGCAUGCCUUACACAUGCAAGUCGAACGGGGGUAGCAAUACCCUAGUGGCGAACGGGUGAGUAGUGCAUCGGAACGUGCCCAAUUGUGGGGGAUAACGUAGCGAAAGUUACGCUAAUACCGCAUAAGUCCUGAGGGAGAAAGCGGGGGAUCUUCGGACCUCGCGCGAUUGGAGCGGCCGAUGUCGGAUUAGCUAGUUGGUAGGGUAAAAGCCUACCAAGGCGACGAUCCGUAGCUGGUCUGAGAGGAUGAUCAGCCACACUGGGACUGAGACACGGCCCAGACUCCUACGGGAGGCAGCAGUGGGGAAUUUUGGACAAUGGGCGCAAGCCUGAUCCAGCCAUGCCGCGUGAGUGAAGAAGGCCUUCGGGUUGUAAAGCUCUUUCGGCCGGGAAGAAAACGCACGGGUUAAUAACCUGUGUGGAUGACGGUACCGGAAGAAUAAGCACCGGCUAACUUCGUG
rnacentral:rRNA from 1 species